GGCAGGUGGGGUCCUGCUAUACAUGCAGUCGAACGAGUUCUCGUUGAUGAUCGGUGCUUGCACCGAGAUUCAACAUGGAACGAGUGGCGGACGGGUGAGUAACACGUGGGUAACCUGCCCUUAAGUGGGGGAUAACAUUUGGAAACAGAUGCUAAUACCGCAUAGAUCCAAGAACCGCAUGGUUCUUGGCUGAAAGAUGGCGUAAGCUAUCGCUUUUGGAUGGACCCGCGGCGUAUUAGCUAGUUGGUGAGGUAAUGGCUCACCAAGGCGAUGAUACGUAGCCGAACUGAGAGGUUGAUCGGCCACAUUGGGACUGAGACACGGCCCAAACUCCUACGGGAGGCAGCAGUAGGGAAUCUUCCACAAUGGACGCAAGUCUGAUGGAGCAACGCCGCGUGAGUGAAGAAGGCUUUCGGGUCGUAAAACUCUGUUGUUGGAGAAGAAUGGUCGGCAGAGUAACUGUUGUCGGCGUGACGGUAUCCAACCAGAAAGCCACGGCUAACUACGUGCCAGCAGCCGCGGUAAUACGUAGGUGGCAAGCGUUAUCCGGAUUUAUUGGGCGUAAAGCGAGCGCAGGCGGUUUUUUAAGUCUGAUGUGAAAGCCCUCGGCUUAACCGAGGAAGCGCAUCGGAAACUGGGAAACUUGAGUGCAGAAGAGGACAGUGGAACUCCAUGUGUAGCGGUGAAAUGCGUAGAUAUAUGGAAGAACACCAGUGGCGAAGGCGGCUGUCUGGUCUGUAACUGACGCUGAGGCUCGAAAGCAUGGGUAGCGAACAGGAUUAGAUACCCUGGUAGUCCAUGCCGUAAACGAUGAAUGCUAGGUGUUGGAGGGUUUCCGCCCUUCAGUGCCGCAGCUAACGCAUUAAGCAUUCCGCCUGGGGAGUACGACCGCAAGGUUGAAACUCAAAGGAAUUGACGGGGGCCCGCACAAGCGGUGGAGCAUGUGGUUUAAUUCGAAGCAACGCGAAGAACCUUACCAGGUCUUGACAUCUUUUGAUCACCUGAGAGAUCAGGUUUCCCCUUCGGGGGCAAAAUGACAGGUGGGUGCAUGGUUGUCGUCAGCUCGUGUCGUGAGAUGUUGGGUUAAGUCCCGCAACGAGCGCAACCCUUAUGACUAGUUGCCAGCAUUAAGUUGGGGACUCUAUUAAGACUGCCGGUGACAAACCCGAGGAAAGGUGGGGAUAAA
rnacentral:rRNA from 2 species